rfam:Perkinsus marinus ATCC 50983 gcontig_1104296217146, whole genome shotgun sequence.
GCUCCGAUAGCUCAGUCGGUAGAGCGCGUGCCUUUUAAGCCCGUGGCCGCGGGUUCGAGCCCCGCUCGGAGUG